UGGGGAAUAUUGGACAAUGGGCGAAAGCCUGAUCCAGCCAUGCCGCGUGUGCGAAGAAGGCCCUCGGGUUGUAAAGCACUUUCAGCGAGGAAGAACGCCUAGCGGUUAAUCCCCGUUAGGAAAGACAUCACUUCCAGAAGAAGCACCGGCUAACUCCGUGCCAGCAGCCGCGGUAAUACGGAGGGUGCAAGCGUUAAUCGGAAUUACUGGGCGUAAAGCGCGCGUAGCAGGCUUGAUAAGCCGGUUGUGAAAGCCCCGGGCUCAACCUGGGAGCGGCAUCCGGAACUGUCAAGCUAGAGUGCAGGAGAGGAAGGUAGAAUUCCCGGUGUAGCGGUGAAAUUCGUAGAGAUCGGGAGGAAUACCAGUGGCGAAGGCGGCCUUCGGGACUGACACUGACACUGAGGUGCGAAGGCGUGGGUAGCAACCA
rnacentral:rRNA from 1 species